GAUGAACGCUGGCGGCGUGCCUAAUACAUGCAAGUCGAGCGAACAGAUGAGGAGCUUGCUCCUCUGACGUUAGCGGCGGACGGGUGAGUAACACGUGGAUAACCUACCUAUAAGACUGGGAUAACUUCGGGAAACCGGAGCUAAUACCGGAUAAUACAUUGAACCGCAUGGUUCAAUAGUGAAAGACGGUUUUGCUGUCACUUAUAGAUGGAUCCGCGCCGCAUUAGCUAGUUGGUAAGGUAACGGCUUACCAAGGCAACGAUGCGUAGCCGACCUGAGAGGGUGAUCGGCCACACUGGAACUGAGACACGGUCCAGACUCCUACGGGAGGCAGCAGUAGGGAAUCUUCCGCAAUGGGCGAAAGCUUGACGGAGCAACGCCGCGUGAGUGAUGAAGGUCUUCGGAUCGUAAAACUCUGUUAUUAGGGAAGAACAAAUGUGUAAGUAACUAUGCACGUCUUGACGGUACCUAAUCAGAAAGCCACGGCUAACUACGUG
rnacentral:rRNA from 1 species